rnacentral:rRNA from 1 species
GAUGAACGCUGGCGGCGUGCUUAACAUAUGCAAGUCGAACGAUGAAGCCCAGCUUGCUGGGUGGAUUAGUGGCGAACGGGUGAGUAACACGUGAGUAACCUGCCCUUGACUCUGGGAUAAGCCUGGGAAACUGGGUCUAAUACUGGAUAUGACUUCUCAUCGCAUGGUGGGGGGUGGAAAGAUUUAUUGGUCUUGGAUGGACUCGCGGCCUAUCAGCUUGUUGGUGGGGUAAUGGCUCACCAAGGCGACGACGGGUAGCCGGCCUGAGAGGGUGACCGGCCACACUGGGACUGAGACACGGCCCAGACUCCUACGGGAGGCAGCAGUGGGGAAUAUUGCACAAUGGGCGCAAGCCUGAUGCAGCGACGCCGCGUGAGGGAUGACGGCCUUCGGGUUGUAAACCUCUUUCAGUAGGGAAGAAGCGGGAGUGACGGUACCUGCAGAAGAAGCGCCGGCUAACUACGUG